rnacentral:rRNA from 1 species
CGGACGGGUGAGUAAUGCUUGGGAAUCUAGCUUAUGGAGGGGGAUAACUACGGGAAACUGUAGCUAAUACCGCGUAAUAUCGAAAGAUUAAAGUGUGGGGCCUUCGGGCCACAUGCCAUAAGAUGAGCCCAAGUGGGAUUAGGUAGUUGGUGAGGUAAAGGCUCACCAAGCCGACGAUCUCUAGCUGGUCUGAGAGGAUGACCAGCCACACUGGGACUGAGACACGGCCCAG